UCUAAGAUGUCUAGGAGCUGGAGAGAUGUGUCAGCACCCACACCUGAGGCCACUCUGGGGCCUCUGACUAGAAGCCAGAGGGGAUGCUACAGCAUUGGGAAACCAGGCGGGAAUGUGGGUGUGAAUGUGUGAACUUGGGGGCAGGAAGAGGGGAUGAAGAAUGAGAUUAUCUUGCUCUGCCCCGAUGGAUCGUACAUAGAGUGACUUCAGGCCUGGACACUGCACUUGAGGAGGGAGGCUGAGGGAUCGCAGCAGUGGCUGGCUCCUGGAGGACUGGGAAGUGAGACAGGGGAGCUCUGGGGGUGUGAGGAAUGGGAGGCAGAAGGCCCAGGAGCACCAGCCCUGCUCACUGCCAUAGGACAGGUUGUCCUGUGAAAGAUUAAGUCAGACCUGCCCAGAGAGGCCAGCGGGGAGAACCGGAAGAGACAAGAGGGAUUCCAGGGAGACAGAGCACAGUGUGAGGAGAGGAAGACGUCUGGAGCAGGUAGUGGUGAGCGGUCCAGCAAAGCACUCGGGAACCCAAAAGAACCGAGAACAGUGCCUGGCACCUGACAGGUGGUCAUGUAUAUGGAUACAGUGACAGAGGGGACACUAGUGAAUGGCCUCACCUACCUUUUUAAGAGGAGAAAACUGAAGAAUGUCGAUGUCAACCUGGCUAAAGUCAUGCGGCAAGCAUUCAGGGAAGCCCAAUAUCAUCAUACCCUUACAGCUUGGCUCCAAAGUCCAAACCUUUAGCCACUUUAACAUAUGAACACAUCAUGGGGGGAAGCCAAGCUCAGAAGAUAAAAUGAUAAGUUUUAGGAUAUCUGAGGUUUUAGAAAAAAAAAUCCAAAAUUACAAAAUUCUCCAAAAUUUGGUAAAGUUCUAUAAACGUCAAGGACCAUCCUGUUGAUACCUAAUUCUAUUAGUUGAUUGAUACCCAGUUAUAUUAAUUGAUAUUCAGGUUUCAUCUUAGCUUGUGCUGAGACUUUUUUUCUUUCAUGGAAACUUAUCUCCAAAUUUAUUGUGUAUGCCAAAGGGAAAACAGAUUCACUCUCCAUCAUUUUGGUAUACAACCGACAUCACCAGGAUGCUUUUAUAUUGUUGAGUGAAGGAUGCACAUAUAAAUGGAGCAGUGAACCCUGAGAUAUACAGUGGAUGGGACAAAGAGGCGCCCUGAAUGAAUGAGCUAAUAUGGUGCAGCGGGAAAGGCAUAAUUUAGGAGUUAGACAGUGGCUCUGCCACUGAAGAGUGGUAUAACCUUGGACUGUGCACCUCACCUCUAAAUCUCAGUUUUCUGAGCUGAGAAAUGGGGGUAAUGUACUCCCACAGGCCUGCUGGGAUAAUGGAAUGAUCAUAUUUUAAAUGUCUGCUACAGGUGGCCUUUUGGGAUGCCUGGGUAGCUCAGUGGUUGAGGGUCUGCCUCUGGC